GAUGAACGCUGGCGGCGUGCUUAACACAUGCAAGUCGAACGGUGAAGCAGGAGCUUGCUCCUGUGGAUCAGUGGCGAACGGGUGAGUAACACGUGAGCAAUCUGCCCUGGACUCUGGGAUAAGCGUUGGAAACGACGUCUAAUACCGGAUACGAGGCGUGGGGGCAUCCCCAACGCCUGGAAAGAACUUCGGUCCAGGAUGAGCUCGCGGCCUAUCAGGUAGUUGGUGAGGUAACGGCUCACCAAGCCUACGACGGGUAGCCGGCCUGAGAGGGUGACCGGCCACACUGGGACUGAGACACGGCCCAGACUCCUACGGGAGGCAGCAGUGGGGAAUAUUGCACAAUGGGCGCAAGCCUGAUGCAGCAACGCCGCGUGAGGGACGACGGCCUUCGGGUUGUAAACCUCUUUUAGCAGGGAAGAAGCGAAAGUGACGGUACCUGCAGAAAAAGCACCGGCUAACUACGUGCCAGCCGCCGCCGUAAUAC
rnacentral:rRNA from 1 species